GCUUACCAUGCAAGUCGAACGAUGAAAGGAAGCUUGCUUCCUGGAUUAGUGGCGAACGGGUGAGUAACACGUGAGCAAUCUGCCCUUGACUCUGGGAUAAGCGUUGGAAACGACGUCUAAUACCGGAUACGACCCUCGGAGGCAUCUCCUGGGGGUGGAAAGAAUUUUGGUCAAGGAUGAGCUCGCGGCCUAUCAGCUUGUUGGUGAGGUAAUGGCUCACCAAGGCGACGACGGGUAGCCGGCCUGAGAGGGUGACCGGCCACACUGGGACUGAGACACGGCCCAGACUCCUACGGGAGGCAGCAGUGGGGAAUAUUGCACAAUGGGCGAAAGCCUGAUGCAGCAACGCCGCGUGAGGGACGACGGCCUUCGGGUUGUAAACCUCUUUUAGUAGGGAAGAAGCGAAAGUGACGGUACCUGCAGAAAAAGCACCGGCUAACUACCUGCCAGCAGCCGCGGCAAU
rnacentral:rRNA from 1 species